rnacentral:lncRNA from 1 species
AUAUGACUAGCUAGCUGAGUGUACCUUUGUUGGAAAAUAAAGAUUCUUUCAAUAGAAAAUGUUAUGGGUUACAAAUCAAACAGAAUAGGGAAAGUAGAGAGAGAAGCUCUGUCUUCUCUUUAGACUUUCUCUUGCUAGGAGCCUCUGUUGAGAGUCGUCGGUGUGCUCCGUUCGUCUGUUGGAUGGCGUUGUCUAUCCCUCUGACGGUUUUGUCCGGACAGCCCCAUCUGGUUCUCCGGCAGCUGAGUCUGUUCUUUUUCUUCCCAAUUUCAUGUUUUCUUCUCCCUUUCUCCAGAUUUGGCCUCAUGCUAUCUCUCUACAACCUUCAAAAUCAAUCAUUGCAGGAAUCAUCGAAAUUCCUCGCCUUUCUCUUCAGAUCUACGGCCUCGGGCUCCUCAAGUUUGAAUCUCUCUAUUGUUAUUCAAUGCAUUACGAUAUGUAAGUUGUGAAAUAGAGGUGUACAGAGAUCAAGCAGCGUCUCCGGUGCAUGCACCGACACUUCUGUCUUUUUUACUUUCCUUGGGUCUUUGCGACGGCUCCAACAGCGUCUCUUCUGAUAGCUUUAGCAGUGAGUUCCAUGGUAGAUUUGAGGCUUGUGUUUGCAAGUGCUAUCUCAAUUCUACUUGGGUUGGUUGGUUUUUGAUUUUUGGGUUUUGUGGAAUGGCUAUUUCAGACUAGGAGCGGUUUUGGUCAUCAAAGCAAUUUUCCGUGCAGGCGUGUGGCAGUUUGUGGCGAUGACGCCAUUGAAAGUUUCAUCAAUGCCUAGGUUUUUGUAGGGUUUGUUUUUGAGAUGGGCCGUUUUGAUUUUCCUUUGUUGUU